AUUGAACGCUGGCGGCAGGCCUAACACAUGCAAGUCGAACGAGUGGCGGACGUGUGAGUAAUGUCUGGGAAACUGCCUGAUGGAGGGGGAUAACUACUGGAAACGGUAGCUACUACCGCAUACCAUCAGAUGUGCCCAGAUGGGAUUAGUUAGUUGGUGGGGUAACGGCUCACCAAGGCGACGAUCCCUAGCUGGUCUGAGAGGCUGACCAGGCAAACUGGAAAGGAGACACGGGCCAGAAUCCUACGGGAGGGAUGAGGGGGGAAUAUUGCACAAUGGGCGCAAUCCUGAUGCAGCCAUGCCGGGUGUAUGAAGAAGGCCUUAGGGUUGUAAAGUACUUUCAGCGGGGAGGCGUUACCCGCAGAAGAAGCACCGGCUAACUCCGUGCCAGCAGCCGCGGUAAUUC
rnacentral:rRNA from 1 species